GCCGGCAGCUAGCUCUCUGCAACUCUCACAUGGUCGCCCACUGAAGCUAAGCAGGGCUGUGCCCGGCCAGUACCUGGAUGGGACACCACAUGGGAAAGCUAGGUUGCUGCCGGAA
rfam:Danio rerio chromosome 3, GRCz11 reference primary assembly.